GUAGUCGGAUUCGCAUCAAUCCACAUGUGUUGAGGUGGAUUGAAGUGGAACUUGAACUAAAUUUCACUCCAAUCCAAUCCACUCCAACACAUGUGGAUUGAGAUGAAUCCAACA
rfam:Sorghum bicolor cultivar BTx623 chromosome 1, whole genome shotgun sequence.